CUCUCCCCUGGGUUUAGCGCCCUGGAGGGGGAGGGGCUGAACCUGUGAGAACUCCUAGGCGCCGUUCUGCGGAGGAAUAACGGGGGCGAUUCCUUCCAGCAUGUCUCUGGGGUCUGGACUGUUAGUGGCAGGCUCUGUGGCACCUUUCGGCCGCAGCCCGGGCUUACGGGAGGAGAAACUGAGCUCCGUAAGGGGAGAAACGAGAUCGUUUCGGGACGUCCCUCCGCCGGUUCAGCUCCUUCUGGGCUGAGGAUCGGCGUGCACUAAGGCGCUGAGAUCCCAAAGGGAGAAACCGCCGCAUCCCUGGAGAUGGCGGGGGAGGGGGUGGCCCGGAACCUGGCCAAGCCUUCCCCUCGGUCUCAGGAUUGACCGAGGCUCUCCCUGCUGGACCUCAGCCUGCCUCAAUGCCUGCAGCCAGCCUCCUGCCCAGGAAGAGGAGACAACGAGCUUGCAGAGGACCCAGGAUGGGAGCCAGAGGGGUGGCCCCUAGGAGCCCCGGCCCCCCAGCCCAGUUCUUCCUCUGGAUGUGGAUAGCGUUCUUUCUCAUAGAUCCCUGCGGAUUGUUCAGGAAUGUUACAUUGCCACUAAUGGAGAAGUCCAUUACAUUCAAUUGUACCACAGUGUUUCAGUCUCUGUGUACCAUGUUUUCCUGGUUCUGCUCCUCUCGCUCUGCAUCACUUCCUGGAGGUCCUUCCAGUUCACGUGGAAUCCCUCCAGUUCAUCAUUCCUUUGAGCACAAUAGUAUUCCAUCACCAACAGACACCACAGUUGGUUCAGCCAUUCCCCAAUUGAAGGUGUUAACUUGGAAAUAACGCAGAACUAUUAAAUAGUCAGAAAAACCAAGUAUUUAAUCAGGAGACGGAUGAAUCCAAUUUGGCCCUUUACUCAGUCUGGCGCCACAACCUUUUCAGGAUGCAAACCCUGGACUCUGGGAUGUUGUCCCUGGGAGCGCCACAACGCUAUCUAUCUGACGACUCUGAGGAGCAAAAGCAUUGGAGAACCUCUAUACCAUUUGGGGAGUCCAGGGGCAGGGAAAGAUGAUGGACAUCACUAUAGCUACAAGGAAAAUGGGAGGGUUCAAACUACACUGACAGGAUUCAAUCAAGCUUGGGAAAGGAAUCAUAGCUAGAGACUGGGUGUAAGAGAAGGGGCUGCUUACUGAUACUGAAGGAUGGUUCCUGCCCAGGUGUGGAUCUUCCUGGGAAAGGUUCUAAUACAAUAGGGGAGAUGACCUGAGAAAAGAGGGUACUUAGCAUAUGCUUAUCCCACCCAAUCAGGAUUGUCAAUCCCCUGGGGGUCCCCCACUCAGUCUGAAACUGCUAACUUGGGAUUCCCUUCAGGGUAGAUUCCCAGGGAACAGGGAACAAAGACAAGCUUUGGGGUCUCCGACCUACAAGCUAGUUUUAAAACUUGGGGUUCAUCAGAUCCCACUAGGCCACAAGUUUGGGGUUCCUAAAUUCCAUGUUGACACAGGACAUCCCCAUAUUUUCCAAUUUUUGGCCACCACAAAGUGCACAACUAUGAAUAUUCUUGUACAUGUAUUUUUCCUUAUUAUCUCUUUGGGAUACAAACCCAGUCUUUUAGCGCCCUUUGGGCCUAGUUCCAAAUUGCCCUCCAGAAUGGUUGGAUCCAUUCACAACUCCACCAGCAAUGCAUUAGUGUCCCAAUUUUGUAAAAGUUUAAUGUUGAAAAGAUUGUUUUAGAUUUUAGGUUCAGAUCUUAAUGGAGUAGCCAAGCUCACUUAGAGAAAAACAACAUGGUUGGGCUCUUGUUCCUGAGAACUCAAAUCUAGAAUGUGAGCUUCUCAGUGUUGCUCUUGAGAAGAGUGACAAAAGGUGAAGUAAACACAGUGUUCCUGACUGAUCUGUGCUUCUUUGCUCUUGAAGAUAAUAAAGCAGAAAACUAACAAUUAACCUAAAGUCCUGAACUCUCUUAAGGUCCACUGAAUAUACAGAAAGGGUUUGUGUGAUUUUUACUUAACAAAUACAGGCUUUGAUUUUGUUUU